AAUUUCUAGUAUCUGUCGAGAUCUACUUACUUAUCUAAAAUACAAAAUUUCAUUAAUGUACCUAUUGUAGGUCUUGAGAUAUUGACGUCAGAAAAUCGCUAUUUUUACUAUACACUCACUGACUGACUGACUCACUCACUCACUCACUCACUCAUCAAAAACCUAGACCACUUCCAAUGGUCGUAUUGACUUGAAAUUUGGCAUGGAGGUAGGUCUUUAGGUCAAGGUAAAGGAAAAAAUCUGAAAAUGGCCAAGUGUGAGUCGGUUUUAAAAAUAAUGAAGGUGUAAAUUCAUACCCCUAAAGAACUAAAACAAAAAAAAUAUCUUUAUCUUCCAAUGGUCGUACCGACCUAAAAUUCGUUACGAAGGUUUGUAUUUAGUUAAAGUAAAAUAAGAAAAUAAACCUUACAAAAAUAAAUGAAAUCCCACCCAAAACAUAAAUGUGAAAGGCUGCCAAGUUCGAUAAUAUUGGAAUGCUUCGCCUAUAAAAGAAGUGAGAUCUAAAUAAGUACCAAGUUCCAUACACAGACUUCAGUUAAAAAUGAUAUAACUUGGCAAGUUUUAAUAGAAAAUUAUAUACUUGACUCAUUGCGUUUAGUAGGUUUAUAACAAAGUGUGUGAAAACUUGCCAACUUGUUAUAUCAUUUUUAACUGAGGUCUGUGUAUGGAACUUGGUACUUAUUUAGAUCUCACUUCUUUUAUGGGCGAAGCAUUCCAAUAUUAUCGAACUUGGCAGCCUUUCACAUUUAUGUUUUGGGUGGGAUUUCAUUUAUUUUUGUAA